UACGUAGGGGGGCAAGCGUUUGUCCGGAUUUACUGGGUGUAAAGGGGUGCUCAGGUGGCUUUGUAAGUCAGCGGUGAAAUCUUAGAGCUCAACUCUGAAACUGCCGUUGAUACUACUUGGCUUGAGUAUGGAAGAGGUUGAUGGAAUUUCAGGUGUAGCAGUUGAAAUGCGUAGAUAUCUGAAAGAACACCAGUGGCGAAAGGCGGUCAACUGGUCCAUUACUGACACUAAAAGCACGAAAGCGUGGGUAGCGAACAGG
rnacentral:rRNA from 1 species